rnacentral:rRNA from 1 species
UACGUAGGGUGCAAGCGUUAAUCGGAAUUACUGGGCGUAAAGCGUGCGCAGGCGGUUUUUCAAGACAGAUGUGAAAUCCCCGGGCUUAACCUGGGAAUGGCAUUUGUGACUGGAAGGCUAGAGUGUGUCAGAGGGGGUAGAAUUCCACGUGUAGCAGUGAAAUGCGUAGAGAUGUGGAGGAAUACCGAUGGCGAAGGCAGCCCCCUGGGAUAACACUGACGCUCAUGCACGAAAGCGUGGGGAGCAAACAGG